rnacentral:rRNA from 1 species
AGCGAACGCUGGCGGCAGGCCUAACACAUGCAAGUCGAGCGGGCGUAGCAAUACGUCAGCGGCAGACGGGUGAGUAACGCGUGGGAACAUACCUUUUGGUUCGGAGCAACACAGGGAAACUUGUGCUAAUACCGGAUAAGCCCUUACGGGGAAAGAUUUAUCGCCGAAAGAUUGGCCCGCGUCUGAUUAGCUAGUUGGUGAGGUAACGGCUCACCAAGGCGACGAUCAGAGCUGGUCUGAGAGGAUGAUCAGCCACAUUGGGGACUGAGACACGGCCCAAACUCCUACGGGAGCAGCAGUGGGGAAUAUUGGACAAUGGGCGCAAGCCUGAUCCAGCCAUGCCGCGUGAGUGAUGAAGGCCCUAGGGUUGUAAAGCUCUUUGUGCGGGAAGAUAAUGACGGUACCGCAAGAAUAAGCCCCGCUAACUUCGU